rnacentral:rRNA from 1 species
AACGAACGCUGGCGGCAGGCCUAACACAUGCCAGUCGAGCGCGCCCUUCGGGGUGAGCGGCGGACGGGUGAGUAACGCGUGGGAACGUGCCCUUCUCUGCGGAAUAGCCUCGGGAAACUGAGAGUAAUACCGCAUACGCCCUUUGGGGGAAAGAUUUAUCGGAGAAGGAUCGGCCCGCGUUGGAUUAGGUAGUUGGUGGGGUAAUGGCCCACCAAGCCGACGAUCCAUAGCUGGUUUGAGAGGAUGAUCAGCCACACUGGGACUGAGACACGGCCCAGCCUCCUACGGGAGGCAGCAGUGGGGAAUCUUAGACAAUGGGGGCAACCCUGAUCGAGCCAUGCCGCGUGAGUGAUGAAGGCCUUGGGGUUGUAAAGCUCUUUCAGCUGGGAAGAUAAUGACGGUACCAGCAGAAGAAGCCCCGGCUAACUCCGUG